AACAAGGCGUACCUGCGGACCUGCGGAAGGAUCAUUAACGAGUGUAGCCUACCCUUUUAAAAAAUGGGUGGUACCUCCCGUCCUUUGCGGGCCCCCUUCUUUUAUUAAGGGGGGGGCUUUUAAGACUUUCUGCUUCGGCGGGGUUAUUCCCGCCGGAACACCUUCAAAAAACUCUUGAUCAAAAAACUGUUCAGUCCGAGAAUUUUUGAAAAUUAAAACAAAACUUUUAACAACGGAUCU
rnacentral:misc_RNA from 1 species